rnacentral:rRNA from 1 species
CAGCAGCCGCGGUAAUACGAAGGGUGCAAGCGUUAAUCGGAAUUACUGGGCGUAAAGCGCGCGUAGGUGGUUUGGUAAGAUGGAUGUGAAAUCCCCGGGCUCAACCUGGGAACUGCAUCCAUAACUGCCUGACUAGAGUACGGUAGAGGGUGGUGGAAUUUCCUGUGUAGCGGUGAAAUGCGUAGAUAUAGGAAGGAACACCAGUGGCGAAGGCGACCACCUGGACUGAUACUGACACUGAGGUGCGAAAGCGUGGGGAGCAAACAGGAUUAGAUACCCCGGUAGUCCCUGUCUCUUAUAA